UAGAAGGGCAUAGAAAAAAUAUAGCUAUAGAGCCCCAAAGAUUAUGACAUUUACGAGAUAAAUAACUAAGGAUAGUGGUGAUGAAAGAAGCUUAUCAUUCCUUUAUUCCAUGGCCCACAGAGCUGACUCCAACCAUCUGGUCUCUGUGAAGAUGCGGGCUACACAGCCUGGAGGGAUGAAAUCCAACCUCCCUUCUCUUCUAACAACUCUCCCUUUUUGUGCUGAAGAAAAUAUCUUCUCUGUCUGGUUCUGCGGUGAUUUGAGUGCUGGACAGUGAGACUGCUGGAAAAUCACCUCUUGGCACUGUCCCGAAUGAAGUUCUGCUAUAGUGACAAAAAGAGAUGAUCGUGGUGCCCAAUUCUGCCCUUACUUCUGUAUGGAAAAAUUGUGUGCUGAAGACUUAUGCUUGCAGGUAGUUCAGGCAACAUUUAUUUACAGCUCUGUUUGAUAAUGAAUUUGGAAUGAAACCUAAACAAUGGGCAUGACCAUCAGGAAUGAAGGAGGAAGAUUAUUUUGGUUUUAGUGUUGUACUGAAGAUUUAGUUGGAUUUGAAAGACAAAGUUACGGCAAUCAAGGCUUCAAGAAUGAUAGAAAGGUAGAUAUUAUUUGAAUUUAUAUUGCAAGGAAACACUGGCAAGAACUGAAGGGUGGAAGAGAAGUUAUGAACAAAAAGUAUUUCUGUGUAAAAGUAUAUACAUGUGUGUGAGUAUGUAUAUAUAUCUAUGUAUAUAUUAUUAAACAGUAAA